rnacentral:lncRNA from 1 species
AAUGUUCAGGAAGUUCACUGGAAAGUCAAGACAAUUGUAGGUUUUUUUUGAAGGAGCAGCAGUGCAACAGAGCAGCUCUUAACAUGCCAACAGAACAGUGGCAAAGUAAAUGUCAAGAAAUUGAUCCAGGACUUGCCCACAAGGUGGAAUUCAACCCUGUUCAUGUUGGAACGUAUUGUCGAAUUAUCAGAGGCAGUGAAAAUUACAGUUGCCCUUUGUAACAGACCCACAGAUCUUCCGUCACUGUCAAAUGAUGAGUGGGAAAUCUGCUCCGAACUCUGUUUGAUUUUGAAACUGUUUGAGCAGGUUUCGAGGCAGCUCAGUGCAGAGGAGUACCCAACUGGCAGCUUGGUUAUAGUCCUGACACGUGGACUUCUGGCAGUAUGUGACGAAAUAGCCAAAAUGCAGCUACAUGAAGUUUCAAUGAAAGUUGUUGAGGCACUAAAAGAAGGGCUUACAAACCGGUUUUCGAAUAUUGAGCAGAGCAAGUCCAUUGCCCUUGCUACUCUGCUGGAUCCACGUUUCAAAUUGCUGGCAUUUCAGAACCAGGCAGCAGCAGACAACAUGAAGAAACAAUUAAUUAAUAUUGUUGCCCAGAAAAUGGAAAAAUGUAGGCCAGUAGGUAUUCAGCCUUCACAAUCUGUUGAGCCAAAUAAUUUGGCAACUGAGUUCUUCUCUGUGUGGGGCAUAUUUGAUAAGUUAGUGAAACAUGCACAGCCACAGGGCACAGUACAGUCAUGUGCUAUUGUAGAGGUUCAAAGGUACAUUGACAGCUCAGUCAUCAGUAGAAAUUGAGGAUCCUCUGGCAUGGUGGAGGCAAAAUCAAUACACAUACCCAACCAUUGCAAAAGUAGUGAAAGAGAGGUUUAAUGUUGUAGCAACUUCUGUACCUUGUGAGAGGGUCUUCUCAAAAACUGGACAUUUAAUAAAUGACAGAAGAACCCGCCUCAAGCCAUCGAAUUUAGAAAAACUAAUAUUUCUGAAUGCCAAUGGUACCUGUGAUUAGUGCUGUCUUGCAGAAAAUUCUGGACCCGUGUGAGGUUUGCUUCCAUGGAGGUAACUGGGCACUUUCAACACAAGCAAACAAGACCACACAACUGUAUGAUGCCUAGCAAAAUGUAAAAUAUGUAACUGGGCACUUUCAGCACAAGCAAACAAGACCACACAACUGUAUGAUGAUUAGCAAAAUGUAAAAUAUAUACCUUUCACUUACUGCAGGUAUUUCACUUUGGCAUACAUGUGAGUUAAAUCUCUAGCAUCAAAAGAUUGGUAACACAGACCACUGAUAUCACUUCCAAGACUGUGUUUUCUUUGUCAUAUUAGUUUCUGUUUGUUGAAAAACACAGAUUUAGUUUUGUUGAUAUAUGCACGGUAAUGAACAAUUUAACGAGGCAGAGACCACAUAUUUUUAACCAGAAUUUCAUCAUCAUGCACUACUACAUUUAAAUCUUAUAGAUCGUCAACUAUUUGUUCAUUCGUUUGUCCACAGAAAGGUGACAGAGGAACAGGUCAUACUGGGAGCAGUAGGUCUGUGACUUGGAUGGAGCACAGUUACUGAUUUGAUGCCAUUAAGGCACAAAGCUUUGUAAUGAUUAAAAUGGUGAGUGAAUGUAAAUACUGGAAGUGUUAUUUCUUUAUACUAAAACCUGCUACUUUAAGUUAUGUUUCAGAAAUAUCUUGAGCACCUCGACUUGAAAAAUAACAGGAAUACCAUCUAGAAAGUGAGGACAGUCAGUCAAUGAUAAUCCAUGAGCUUAUGCUGAAGGAAAAAAAUUCUAUAUAUGUAAUAAAAGUUGAUUGUAAUGUGUGAUGUUGUAGACAUACAAUAAUCUGUUUUGUGCUAUCUUUUACAUAAUGAAUUUGGUGACACCAUGUGGAUAAAAACUGGAAUGAGCAAAGAAUACCAACCAAGACCCAAAAACCAGAAAGAGCCACGACCAGCUGUGGAACACACGCAAGUUUGAAAAAUUUAUUCCAAAUGCACACUAAUAGUGAUUUUUUUUCUUUUUUCUUUUUGUUGUUGUUGAUUGCAGAUGUACAUAUAUGUUCCUGUCUCC